rnacentral:rRNA from 1 species
CCCGCUGAACUUAAGCAUAUUACUAAGCGGAGGAAAAGAAAUCAACGAAGAUUGCCUCAGUAGCGGCGAGUGAAGCGGCAAUAGCUCAAGUUUAGAAUCUGUGGCGGCCUCCGUCACCGAAUUGUAAUCUAAAGGGGUUAACAAAAGGGGAAGUAGAGGUAUAAGUUCCUUGGAACAGGACAUCAUAGAGGGUGAAAAUCCCGUAUGUAACCUCCACUGAACCGAAUGUUUGCCUUCUAAGAGUCGGGUUGUUUGGGAUUGCAGCCCUAAAUGGGAGAUAAACUUCUUCUAAGGCUAAAUAUCUAUGGGAAACCGAUAGCGAACAAGUACUGUGAAGGAAAGGUGAAAAGAACUUUGAAAAGAGGGUUAAAAGAUUUGAAAUCGUUGAGAAGGAAGCAGUAAAAGUGGAUUUAUAUUAGUUAUGAAGUAAACCUUGUAAGGCACCAGCUCCUAGCGGUUUCGGUACGUCAUUGGCUACCCGUUAGGAUGUAAUGGCACUUUAAGGUGUUUUCAUGGCUAAAGAGCAGAACCAGGUCUUCUUGGUGUAUUCAGUUCUAGGAAAGCCCGUGGUUUCCGACUACGAGUCCUGGUUCAAAACUCCAAAUUGGCCUGAGGUUAUUGGUUCUGCUACAACGGCUUUUACUGACCCGUCUUGAAACACGG